UAAAGCAAGUUUUACUCAACAUUGAACAAAAUUUGACUUUUUUUCUGAUUAAAUAUAAAAUUAAUCAAUGUUGGGCGAUAAAUGCACAACAAGUUGACUAACUUUUACUCAACACGUUGAUUAAUUUUUACUCAACGCGUUGAGUAAAAUCAACUUCGCCUAUUUAUCAGCCACACGAACGCUGUCAGUUGGUUACAGCAAGUUUAAAAAGAAGCAGCAGUAAAUUUAUUCGAUCAUCAUUAGUCAAUAUUUAAAAUGGCCCGACGACUUGAAAAAUCUCUUAAAAUAACCGGUGGAGUCCAAUCUGCAGAUAAGUUAAAAGGGAACGAUGACGACGACAGUUUUUUUAAUUUGCUGGACGGUGCCGCUGGUUUACCAUAAGAACACGGUUGCUGAAAUGAUUUCAUCAGUUGCCCACACAUUUAAAUUAAUUACAACCAGAGAGGUUAGUAAAUAGAUAAGGGCUUCGUCAGAUUAUCUCUAAAAAUUAUACUUGUAUGUAUGUAUGUAUGUAUGUAUGUACAUAAUUAGUAUUUGGAAGUAAUAUCCCAGUAUCUUUAUGAUAAUUAAUUGUUUUGUACUUAUGUAGAAUUUAUAAAAUGUAAAACGAGUACAAUAAUAAUAAAUAAUGAAUUUUAAGAAGGUAAA